GGCCUGUAUCGGCUGCACGUUUAGUUCGACUGGGAGUGAAUAAGUAAGAAUCAACCCCAUGCAAUUCGCAUAUAAAGAUCGAGAAAAAAACUUUAUUUUCAAAACAAAAAUGAGAGCACAGGGGAACAGCUCGCUCCUUCAGCGCUUAGUGUAGCUCCACUUAGCUCAUGUCUUUUAAAGACGCAGAUUCCGAAGACUGAAAGAAAGUAAAGACUAAACACAUUGUACAGUGUAUCUUUCUUGUAAUGUGUAUUUUUCGUCUUAAGGUUCUAAUCUACAGUAACUUUUGGAAAAAAGCAUCAUUCCAUCAUUCCAGGCUUUCAGUUUCACCUGUGCGGUACGGUGUCAGCUGCAGUUCCUUAAAGAGUCCUGGAAGAAUGAGUAUGUCUACAUUGCGUUUUGGACAGCAUGUUGUCAAGGCUUCUGUGGUGUUUCUUCAAAGUGAAUUGUCCUUCGCUCUGGUGAAUAGGAAACCAGUGGUCCCUGGACGUAUCCUUUUUUAAAAGCACCAUUAUAGCUCAACCAGUUCAGCAAACUCUGCUUGCAAUCAAGACAGCAGCAGGCUGACAGGCUUUCUUUUCUAAAUCAAGGCCCAGGUAAGAUGUUGUUUUCUUGCUUCUCCAACCAGUCACUGGAACAUUAUCUGCUCAAUGGUGCAGCACUACAGGCAUUGGUUGCUCAGCAACAGUUAGCUCAGAGGUAAUGUUUAUUGUGACCUUAUGAAAAAGACCAUACAAACAAAUGUUACCAAAAAAGUUUCAAGAGAAAGGCAGUAUGCUGAAACUAGUUGUGAUGAUUCCUAGUUAUGUUUGUAUGGCUUAUGUUGAAAAAAUAAAGCAUAUGAACUAUAUUUGUGCAGGUAUACAUUGCUAUUUUAUACAACCCAUUUAUUUUUUGUUCUCCCUGGUGUCACAUCUCUUUCAGAUUAGCAAGGGUAAUAUUUAUAUAUUAUGAUCUUAGCCAACAGAGAUGAAAUAACUAUUAUUUAGAUGCAAAUUCUAAGUUAGGUAAUUAUAUAAAGAUGUGCUGCUAGAAAAAAAAAAUAUCUUCCAGGCUUGUCACACAAAAUCUGCAUCAUUAUAUUACUGGUUAGGUGGUUUUUUAUUUCAUUUUUUAUUUAAAAAAUUCUCAUUAACACAUAAUACAUCUCCAUAAUGCACGCUCAUUUUUGUUGUUUUAAAGGAAAACAUUAAUAGUUUUUGGCUAGUAAACCACUCUACUUAAGCUGUCAACAAGCAAAACAAGCUAUAUUUAUAACCUGCAUAUAUUUGCAUUACUUUCUCCACUCUUAUUUGAAUAUCAGUGUUGC
rnacentral:lncRNA from 1 species